rnacentral:rRNA from 1 species
CUUAAUUCGAUGCAACGCGAAGAACCUUACCAGGGCUUGACAUGUAUCUGCAAGCUACCGAAAAGUAGUCGCCUUCGAGGGUGAUACACAGGUGGUGCAUGGCUGUCGUCAGCUCGUGUUGUGAAAUGUUGGGUUAAGUCCCGCAACGAGCGCAACCCUCAUGUUCUGUUACCAGCGAGUAAUGUCGGGGACUCGGAACAAACUGCCUCUGUAAAGAGGAGGAAGGUGGGGAUGACGUCAAGUCAUCAUGCCCCUUACGCCCUGGGCUGCACACAUGCUACAAUGGCCGGUACAAAGGGUUGCGAAAGCGCAAGCUGGAGCCAAUCUCAAAAAGCCGGUCUCAGUUCGGAUUGGAGUCUGCAACUCGACUCCAUGAAGUCGGAAUCGCUAGUAACCGCAGGUCAGCAAUACUG